rnacentral:rRNA from 1 species
UACGUAGGGUGCGAGCGUUGUCCGGAAUUAUUGGGCGUAAAGAGCUCGUAGGCGGUCUGUCGCGUCGGUCGUGAAAGCUUGGGGCUUAACCCUGAGCUUGCGGUCGAUACGGGCAUGACUGGAGUUCGGUAGGGGAGACUGGAAUUCCUGGUGUAGCGGUGAAAUGCGCAGAUAUCAGGAGGAACACCGGUGGCGAAGGCGGGUCUCUGGGCCGAUACUGACGCUGAGGAGCGAAAGCGUGGGGAGCGAACAGG